UACGAGAGGCCCAAACGUUAUUCGGAAUUACUGGGCUUAAAGAGUCCUUAGGCGGCUCAGAAAGUGGGGUGUGAAAGCCCUCGGCUUAACCGAGGAAUUGCGCUCCAAACUCCUGAGCUCGAGGAACCUAGAGGUGAGCGGAACUGAUGGUGGAGCGGUGAAAUGCGUUGAUAUCAUCAGGAACACCGGAGGCGAAGGCGGCUCACUGGGGGUUUUCUGACGCUGAGGGACGAAAGCUAGGGGAGCAAACGGG
rnacentral:rRNA from 1 species